GUGCGCGCCAACCGCCCCCCGCCCACGGCGCGGAGCACCUCUGGGCUCCCCACUUGAACGGCGGGCCGCGCCGGCCCAUGAGGAAAGCGGGGUGCGGAGCUCGCCCCCUGCCGGAGGAUGCGCUCCGCCGGCGGGCACCCUGCGGGGACCACAGCCGGACGCCAGAAGUGACCUGACCGUGAAUGUGCGCUUUGCGUGCAGUCAUUGCAUCGUCGCAGGCCUAGGAGACAGAUGAAGAGAUGGCUCUUAAGGAAAUUCUCGGUUAUACUGAAAAAUCCAGAAGCUCUGAAGAUACCAGUCAAAUAAAAUCACACCCUAUAACUCUACACCAGACUUGUGGCAUGGUUUCUGUAGCUGCCAGCGGUAAAACCAAGAGAAACUUUACAAAAACCUUUUGUGCAUCUGAAAAGGAGGAAGUGUGAGAGACACUGGAAAUUCAAUAUGUCAGACAAAGCCGUCUCCUGACACUGCAGGACAGUAGACCAGUCAAACAAUCUUUUUAAAGCCCCCAUGUAAGAAGUUGCUAUAUGAGGUGGCAGCUUGGGUCAGACAUUAUGUAUGGCCUUUGGUAUUUUAGUAGCACUGCAUGUAAAAUUUAACUUUCUAAAAUCGCUGUAUUCGUGGAUAGCUUUUAUCAUUGCACUAGACAACAAGUUACAAUUUAAAAAUUGUAUCUGUUUCUUUUUAUGUUUUUUGAUCCUUUUGGUGUCUGAAGUUUUCCUCUAUUUGCAACCUUCUACAAUUCAUGUUUUGUGUUUAUUAUUUAUAUUAAUACAUCCUCUCCAACACCAGGCAGAUUCUGUUCCCGCCUACCUAGUUUCCCAGCUACAGUUUUUGACAUGAGGGAAUAUGCUGAAUAACUUUUCAAGUCUUGAUUUGUAGAGGGCUGGUCUCUAUGAGGCUAUGAGGGAUCUAAGAAAGAAAGUCGGGUUUUUCCUUGAUGUCUAGUACAGCAUUAACCAGACUAAUCAAUACUUCUACAAGGACAAAGUUAAGCUUGGUAUUCUCUGUUCUCUCUUUAUAUACAACUCCGGUUCUUGUUUCUUUUAGUUUAAUUUUGCAGAUACAGGAAGCUUUAGUAGCCUCAAAAAAAUAAAAUUGCAAAGCUGUGUUGCAUUGCAAGGCUGGUGGAAAACAACAAUUAGUUACCAAGUUCAUUGGUGGCCUAAAGAGGAUACCAAAUUGGUAGAAUGCUAGAGCCAUUUAUUCCUCCAUCAUCCCUUAGAAAUCUAACUUGCCUACUGCAUAAGCCUAGAAUUAAAGCAAGACCAGAGCAAAACAUAGCUAAUGCCUUUCUGAGAUUAAUAUAAGAAUGAGUAGCUUCCAAUAAAUAACAAUAAAAUUAAAGUUCAACAUGGAUCAAGGAAAC
rnacentral:lncRNA from 1 species